UUUAUCCUUUUAUAAUUUUCUUCUCUUUUUUUUUUUUAGUGGUCUUCUUUCUCCUUCCUUCUUCGUUACUCUUUCUUUCUUCUUCUUUCAUCCCUUUGCUUCCUGAGCACGCAGACACACGGAGAGGGAGAAACAGAGAGUGAGCGAGAGGCUGAGGGAGAGAGAGAGAUGCCGACAGGGAGAGACAGAGAGAUGAGAAGAGAGAGAGAGAGACGAAGAGGGAAGAGAGGCCGUGACCCGUCGACCCAGGUGGCGCAACUCCGGUGGCCAGAAUUGAAACCGGCGAGGCAGUGCGAUUCCAGUGGAGCCCAGGCCGAUUUCCGGCCGUUCGAGGAGGACCUGAACGACCCGCGAGCCAAACCCGUCGGAAUCCGGGAGAACUUGUGCGACCCGAAUCUUCCGGAGGUUCGAUCCUCCAUGUCCGGCGAUCCCUAUAGCGGUUUCCGGUGAGCCGUUACCGUGUGCAGCAACCCAGCCGAACCCCGAAGCCCCGUGACCCAUAACCCGACCCGGUGACCCGUCAGACCCGAGAGGGGAACCCGGUUCUUCCUGUGCAUUUUUCCGACGACUUUUCCGGCGGAAUCAGUGACUUUUUCGGUGGAUUUUCUAUGAAAAUCCUUGGGGUAAAAAGGUCGAUUCUGACGCUAAUGGAAAGUCCAGAUGUCAACAGUAAGACGAAGUCUUUUCCUUGUAAGGGCGUAGACCUCGCUGAGAGCGAUAGUUCGUGAUGAACCGGCCGGACCCUAGUAUUGUAUAGUAUGUUUUGUUUCUUUUAGAGAAUUAAAAGUGUUGUUAAGAAUUAUUAAUAAAAAGGUUUAAAAAUAGGAAGUUUUAAAUUUAUAAGUUGUAAAUGCACGCUUUCAUUUAAAAUGUUUGUUUUUAGCAUCCAAGUUCGUGUUUCCCUUAUAUCCCAAAACGGGGGCGUGACAUGACAAAUAACGGCUUGAGUCCUUAAUUAUAACAAUUAAAAAUAUGAAAUUUUGCUUUGUGACAAAUAACUCUAGUAGUUAAAUUUUCUGUCAAUCUCUUAAGAGAGAAUUUGUGAGUUGUCAUUUUG